CAGCCGCCGCGGUAAUACGAGGGGGGCAAGCGUUGUUCGGAAUUAUUGGGCGUAAAGGGUGCGUAGGCGGUUUGGCAAGUUUGGUGUGAAAUCUUCGGGCUCAACUCGAAGUCUGCAUCGAAAACUGCCGGGCUUGAGUAUGGGAGAGGUGAGUGGAAUUUCCGGUGUAGCGGUGAAAUGCGUAGAUAUCGGAAGGAACACCUGUGGCGAAAGCGGCUCACUGGACCAUAACUGACGCUGAUGCACGAAAGCUAGGGGAGCAAACAGGAUUAGAUACCCCGGUAGUCCCUGUCUCUUAUAA
rnacentral:rRNA from 1 species